rnacentral:rRNA from 1 species
AGUGAACGCUGGCGGUAGGCCUAACACAUGCAAGUCGAACGGCAGCACAGGAGAGCUUGCUCUCUGGGUGGCGAGUGGCGGACGGGUGAGGAAUACAUCGGAAUCUACUUUGUCGUGGGGGAUAACGCAGGGAAACUUGCGCUAAUACCGCAUACGACCUACGGGUGAAAGCAGGGGAUCUUCGGACCUUGCGCGAUUGAAUGAGCCGAUGUCGGAUUAGCUAGUUGGCGGGGUAAAGGCCAACCAAGGCGACGAUCCGUAGCUGGUCUGAGAGGAUGAUCAGCCACACUGGAACUGAGACACGGUCCAGACUCCUACGGGAGGCAGCAGUGGGGAAUAUUGGACAAUGGGCGCAAGCCUGAUCCAGCCAUACCGCGUGGGUGAAGAAGGCCUUCGGGUUGUAAAGCCCUUUUGUUGGGAAAGAAAAGCAGUCGGUUAAUACCCGGUUGUUCUGACGGUACCCAAAGAAUAAGCACCGGCUAACUUCGUGCCAGCAGCCGCGGUAA